AUUGAACGCUGGCGGCAGGCCUAACACAUGCAAGUCGAGCGAGCGGCGGACGGGUGAGUAAUGUAUGGGGCUCUGCCUGAUCGAGGGGGAUAACUACUGGAAACGGUGGCUAAUACCGCAUACUAUCGUAUGAACCCCUAUGGGAUUAGCUAGUAGGGGGGGUAAAGGCUCACCUAGGCGACGAUCCCUAGCUGGUCUGAGAGGAUGAUCGGCCACACUGGGACUGAGACACGGCCCAGACUCCUACGGGAGGCAGCAGUGGGGAAUAUUGGGCAAUGGGCGAAAGCCUGACGGAGCCACGCCGCGUGAAUGAAGAAGGUUUUAGGGUUGUAAAGCACUGUCAUUGGGGAAGCGGUAUCCGCACAGGAAGCAACGGCUAACUACGUGCCAGCAGCCGCGGUAAUUC
rnacentral:rRNA from 1 species